UACCCUUUUAGUAUAAACAGUACAAUUGACUUCCAAUCAAUUAGCUUCGGUCUAAUCCGAAAAAGAGUAA
rnacentral:tRNA from 1 species